CGCUACGGACAACCCGCAGGAGGCCUGGACUGCGCCAAGACCCCAGGCCCCUCGCCGGCUCCACCGUAGCCCACAGGAAGAAUACUUACAAUCGAGUGACCCAGGACGGGAGCAGCUCGGGAAGCGAAGCUCUUUCAUGCCCCGGAGCAGCAAGAAGGAAACGAAAAAGAACGGCCAGUUGCAGCAAGAGUUGCAGUAAGAGCCAAGCCGGGCGCCGGACCCCUUCCAGCAAGCAAAAGAAACUUUUUCACCCUCCUCCCCGCGGCGGCUCGCAAAGUCUCGGCGCUGCGGAGUCGCUGGGCGGGCGGUGCAGACACCCUUGCGCGCCCAUUGGCCGCCCACGUCCCCUUGGCCACGUGACAAUAACAAGGCUCCAGCCCGGGGAGGGAGAUCUGGAGAAAGUGGAGCUGAGAUUGUAGGAAAUUCGGAGUUAACAUUUUCCAGCCUCUCCAGCCAGAAGUCGCUCCUACAUAUAUCAAAUGCAGUUGAAGGGGAAUGGGGUGAGCAAACAAAUGAGUAGCUAUUAGGCCAGCUCUCCCUGUCUCAGAGAUGACUUGUAGGAAUUUCAGAGGAGUCAAGUAAAGUUACUAGCUCUGUUAGGAGGAAACCCUUUAAGUUCGAAUUUUGAAAAUCGUGUAGCCAAACUCUCCAUAGAUGAAACAAUAUAGUUUCAAUGAGAAUAAGAGUUCUCAUACUGUUUGACUUUUUCCCCCAAUAUACAGCUUCCAAACUUAAAAUAAUGACACGUAAAAGUUAAAACAUGGAGAAUAUUGUCUCGAGUUAGAAAUGGCCAGCUGUGGUGUAGUACUGGGGAGGGGGUUGGUAGAAACUAACCCUCUAGUGAACCUCUCUGGCAACAAUUAUAUAUUAUUCAGUGAAAAAACUAGAAAUGAUAAAAGUAGUCACAGUGGUAUUCCAAAGCAUAAUGAAAACUGGAAUUGGAGGAUAAAAUUAAUAAAUGUUCUUUUCCACCUGGGCUUUGAGAGAUGACGAAUCCUGACUGAGAAUGCUACCAGGCUAGAAUUCUUUGCCUACCUCCAAAAUCAUCGUGGGUCUAGGUUUAUAAGACCUGACAGUGAAGUCAGUGCCUUCAUUUGUUCUUGCAAAUGAUUAGUGUCAAAGGAUUUGAAAUUGAUGGGGAUCCAAGAUCACCUGUGACUAUUCUCCUGUGGGUGAGGAAAUGGACCCGGGAAAUGUAAAAAAUCUGUGGCAGAGAAAAAGGAAGAAAAAGAAAUAAUAAUAAAAAAAAAGAACACAUAUUUUAAACUUCCACUCGCAGACAUUUUUUUUUUUUUGCACGUUAUUUAUCCAAGCAUUCCUGGGAAUCGCAUGAAGACUGUUUUUUAAUGAGGUAUAGCUGAGACUUUAACUCCAUCUCUAAUGUCCAGUGGAUCUCCACUGUAACAACAAAUCACCCAAUAAGUAAGCACUUCCACUCAAUAAAAAAGACAAACUUUGAUGUCCAAGCACAGUAUUUUAGAUAUGCUAGCCCAUCCUCUUAUUUUCAGUGAUUGUUUGCAUCAACCCCACCACCAUUUGAAUGAUGUAUGAUUUAACAAUAUUUGUAGGCCCCCGGUGUUGGUGGACAUGGUUGAGAGGACAUUACAAUACAUAAGACACAGAAGCUGUCAAAACUUCAUGAGCAAUGAGGCAGUGCUGCAGGCAUCUGCCUUUUUAUCUUUCUAUUUACCACUUCCCUCUCCAGUUCUCUGUUUUUUAGCAAAAUAAAUAUAUUUUCAAUGAUGGCA